rnacentral:rRNA from 1 species
AGCUUGCUGGACGGAAAUAGAGGCGAACGGGUGAGUAAUACGUAAGCAACCUGCCCACGAAGACCGGGAUAAUCCCUGGAAACGGGGACUAAGACCGGAUAGGUACACAGACCGCAUGAUCUGUGUAUUAAAGGUGAGAGACACUGGUGGAUGGGCUUACGGUGCAUUAGCUGGAUGGUGAGGUAACGGCCCACCAUGGCGAUGAUGCAUAGCCGGGCUGAGAGGCUGAACGGCCACAUUGGGACUGAGACACGGCCCAGACUCC